rnacentral:rRNA from 1 species
CGAAGCGCCCGCGCGGAUUCCCUCGGGAUGAAGCGCGGAUGACUGAGUGGCGGACGGGUGAGUCACGCGUGGGCAACCUGCCCCGUGCCGGGGGACAACAGCCGGAAACGGCUGCUAAUACCGCAUGAUCCGGGAGGGCCGCAUGGCCCUGCCGGGAAAGCUCCGGCGGCACGGGAUGGGCCCGCGUCUGAUUAGUUUGUUGGCGGGGUAACGGCCCACCAAGACUGCGAUCAGCAGCCGGCCUGAGAGGGCGGCCGGCCACAUUGGGACUGAGACACGGCCCAGACUCCUGCGGGAGGCAGCAGUGGGGAAUAUUGCACAAUGGGGGAAACCCUGAUGCAGCGACGCCGCGUGGGCGACGAAGCGCUCCGGCGCGUAAAGCCCUGUCAGCAGGGAAGAAAAAAGACAGUACCUGACCAAGAAGCCCCGGCUAACUACGUGCCAGCAGCCGCGGUAAUACGUAGGGGGCAAGCGUUAUCCGGAUUCACUGGGCGUAAAGGGAGCGCAGGCGGCACGGCAAGUCUGGUGUGAAAGCCCGGGGCCCAACCCCGGGACUGCAUUGGAAACUGCCGGGCUGGAGUGCCGGAGGGGUAAGCGGAAUUCCUGGUGUAGCGGUGAAAUGCG